GACAGCAGUCGCCGGCGGGAAUACGUAGGGUGCAAGCGUUAAUCGGAAUUACUGGGCGUAAAGCGUGCGCAGGCGGUUAUAUAAGACAGAUGUGAAAUCCCCGGGCUCAACCUGGGAACUGCAUUUGUGACUGUAUAGCUAGAGUACGGCAGAGGGGGAUGGAAUUCCGCGUGUAGCAGUGAAAUGCGUAGAUAUGCGGAGGAACACCGAUGGCGAAGGCAAUCCCCUGGGCCUGUACUGACGCUCAUGCACGAAAGCGUGGGGAGCAAACAGGAUUAGAUACCCCAGUAGUCCCUGUCUCUUAUA
rnacentral:rRNA from 1 species